UGGGGGAUAUUGCGGCAAUGGGGGGCAACCCUGACGCAGCAACGCCGCGUGCGGGAAGAAGGUCUUCGGAUUGUAAACCGUUGUCGCAGGGGAAGAAGACAGUGACGGUACCCUGUGAGAAAGCCACGGCUAACUACGUGCCAGCAGCCGCGGUAAUACGUAGGUGGCAAGCGUUGUCCGGAUUUACUGGGGUGUAAAGGGCGCGUAGGCGGGAUAGCAAGUCAGCCGUGAAAUGCCGAGGCUUAACCUCGGAGCUGCGGUUGAAACUGUUAUUCUUGAGUAUCGGAGAGGAAAGCGGAAUUCCUAGUGUAGCGGUGAAAUGCGUAGAUAUUAGGAGGAAC
rnacentral:rRNA from 1 species